rnacentral:tRNA from 1 species
GUGGAUGUAGCUCAGUUGGUAGAGCCCCAGAUUGUGGAUCUGGUUGUCGUGGGUUCAAGCCCCAUCAUCCACCCCA